rnacentral:rRNA from 1 species
UACGGAGGGAGCUAGCGUUGUUCGGAAUUACUGGGCGUAAAGCGCACGUAGGCGGCUUUGUAAGUUAGAGGUGAAAGCCCGGGGCUCAACCCCGGAAUUGCCUUUAAGACUGCAUCGCUUGAAUCCGGGAGAGGUGAGUGGAAUUCCGAGUGUAGAGGUGAAAUUCGUAGAUAUCUGGAGGAACACCGGUGGCGAAGGCGGGUCUCUGGGCCGUAACUGACGCUGAGGAGCGAAAGCGUGGGGAUCAAACAGG